rnacentral:rRNA from 1 species
UACGGAGGGUGCAAGCGUUAUCCGGAUUUACUGGGUUUAAAGGGUGCGUAGGUGGGUCUGUAAGUCAGUGGUGAAAUCUCCGAGCUUAACUCGGAAACUGCCAUUGAUACUAUAGAUCUUGAAUUAUCUGGAGGUAAGCGGAAUAUGUCAUGUAGCGGUGAAAUGCUUAGAUAUGACAUAGAACACCAAUUGCGGAGGCAGCUUACUACGGAUCGAUUGACACUGAGGCACGAAAGCGUGGGGAUCAAACAGG